UACGGAGGUGGCAAGCGUUGUUCGGAAUUACUGGGCGUAAAGGGCGCGUAGGCGGCAUGGCAAGUCAGGUGUGAAAGCCCCGGGCUCAACUCGGGAACUGCAUCUGAAAACUGCUGUGCUUGAGUCCUGGAGGGGGGUAGUGGAAUUCCCAGUGUAGCGGUGAAAAUGCGUAGAUAUUGGGAGGAACACCGGUGGCGAAGGCGGCUACCUGGACAGUGACUGACGCUGAGGCGCGAA
rnacentral:rRNA from 1 species